UCGAACGAAGCAGGGGGGCGGAAUCUCUCCGGAGGGGAAGCCCCCCUGACUGAGUGGCGGACGGGUGAGUAACGCGUGGACAACCUACCCCGCACUGGGGGACAACAGCCGGAAACGGCUGCUAAUACCGCAUAUGCGCACGGCCCCGCAUGGGGCCGCGCGGAAAGCGCAUGCGGUGCGGGAUGGGUCCGCGUCUGAUUAGCUUGUUGGCGGGGUAGCGGCCCACCAAGGCGACGAUCAGUAGCCGGCCUGAGAGGGUGGACGGCCACAUUGGGACUGAGACACGGCCCAGACUCCUACGGGAGGCAGCAGUGGGGGAUAUUGCACAAUGGGGGCAACCCUGAUGCAGCGACGCCGCGUGAGCGAUGGAGUACUUCGGUAUGUAAAGCUCUGUCAGCAGGGAAGAGAAUGACGGUACCUGACCAAGAAGCCCCGGCUAAAUACGUGCCAGCAGCCGCGGUAAUACGUAUGGGGCAAGCGUUAUCCGGAUUUACUGGGUGUAAAGGGAGCGUAGGCGGCAGGGCAAGCCUGAUGUGAAAGCCCGGGGCUCAACCCCGGGACUGCAUUGGGAACUGCCCCGCUCGAGUGCCGGAGGGGCAGGCGGAAUUCCUAGUGUAGCGGUGAAAUGCGUAGAU
rnacentral:rRNA from 1 species